rnacentral:rRNA from 1 species
CAUAUGCCUGUCUCAAAGAUUAAGCCAUGCAUGUGUAAGUAUGAACUAUUUUAGACUGUGAAACUGCGAAUGGCUCAUUAAAUCAGUUAUAGUUUGUUUGAUGGUACGUGCUACUCGGAUAACCGUAGNAAUUCUAGAGCAUAAUACGUGCAACAAACCCCGACUU